AACGAACGCUGGCGGCAUGCCUAACACAUGCCAGUCGAACGGAACCUUCCUGUCUAUUUGCGCACCUCUGCUUAACGCCUGGUAACUUACCCUUAGGUUCGCAAUCACUCCCCUAAGGAUAUGCUCAUACCACUUAAUGUCUUCGCACCAAAGAUUUCUCGCCUUUGGAUGGGCGCUCGUUGGAUUAGCUAGUUGGUAGGGUAAAAGCCUACCAAGGCGACGUUGCAUAGCUGGUCUGAGAGGAUGAUCAGCUACAAUGGGACUGAGACACGGACCAGACUCCGACGGGAGGGAGCAGUGGGGAAUAUUGGAGAAUGGGCGAAAGUCUGAUACAGCAAUGCCGGGGGAGUGAGGAAGGGCGUAGGGUUGUAAAGCUGUUUUACACGGGAUGAUAAUGACAGUACCGGGAGAAUAAGCUCCGGCUAACUCCGUG
rnacentral:rRNA from 1 species